rnacentral:misc_RNA from 1 species
AAAUUGAUUUAAAGUUAAAUUUGAUAUGUUUUAUUGUAAGAAUUUCAAAAUAAUUUUUUUUAACAGUAUCUAAAAUAAUACUUUUCCAAAAAGCAUCUUUUGACAUCCCAACCUCAAAACCAAAUGCGUUUAUUUGUCUUUUUAUAAUUUCAGUUGACUGAAUUAGCAAAUGGGCAACUUAAAAUCUUAGUUUGGAAGCCUUGUCCUGUUAUUCUUUGAAUCUUUCUCUCUUUUUCCUCCUUUUCUUUCUUUAUAUUCACUUUGCUGUUAUCUACCAAUUUAUUUGGAGCACGAAUUCACCAAUCACAAAUACAUAUGGACAACUUCAAAUGUGUUUUAUACCUUUGUUUUUGAGGAAAGCCUGUAAGUUUUAUUGCUUGAGGCGUGUCCUUGAUAUCUAUUUUUUGACCUAAAAUAGAAAACAUUUUUUAUUGUUAUAACUGGUGGUUGCCUUUGGUUGAAUUCAGAGCAUAUUUGUAUAUUCAAUUAUUCAUAUAUUCAAAUGUGUUUGUUUGAAUUCUUUUAUUUCAUAGCAU